CAAUAGCGUAUAUUAAAGUUGUUGCGGUUAAAAAGCUCGUAGUUGGAUUUCUGCUGAGGAUGACCGGUCCGCCCUGUGGGUGUGCAUCUGGCUCAGCCUUGGCAUCUUCCUGAAGAACGUAGCUGCACUUGACUGUGUGGUGCGGUAUUUAGGACAUUUACUUUGAGGAAAUUAGAGUGUUUCAAGCAAGCGCACGCUUUGAAUACAUUAGCAUGGAAUAAUAAGAUAGGACCUUGGUUCUAUUUUGUUGGUUUCUAGAGCUGAGGUAAUGAUUGAUAGGGAUAGUUGGGGGCAUUCGUAUUUAACUGUCAGAGGUGAAAUUCGUGGAUUUGUUAAAGACGGACUACUGCGAAAGCAUUUGCCAAGGAUGUUUUCAUUGA
rnacentral:rRNA from 1 species